rnacentral:tRNA from 1 species
GCCCCCGUAGCUCAGUAGGAUAGAGCGCCCGUUUCCUAAAUGGGAGGCCACAGGUUCGACUCCUGUCGGGGGUA